GUGUCAGCAGCCGCGGUAAGACGUAGGGAGCGAGCGUUAUCCGGAUUCAUUGGGCGUAAAGCGCACGCAGGCGGCCAAGUAAGUCGGGUGUGAAAUCCCGGGGCUCAACCCCGGGCGUGCAUCCGAAACUGCUUGGCUAGAGGUAGGCAGGGGAGAUCGGAAUUCCUGGUGUAGCGGUGAAAUGCGCAGAUAUCAGGAGGAACACCGGUGGCGAAGGCGGAUCUCUGGGCCUUACCUGACGCUCAGGUGCGAAAGCUAGGGGAGCGAACAGGAUUAGAAACCCGUGUAGUCC
rnacentral:rRNA from 1 species